AUAAAUCACACACAGCUGGACGUUUUAUUGUAUUUUCUCCUUCAAAUGUGUUGCCACUUUCUGGUGAACCAGUUCCUGAUUGUUCCAUUUGGGCACUCCCAGGGUGUCAUUUCAGAAAUGAAAUACAGGCUCAAUGUGAGAAGAAAAGAGGGAACUGCGGUAUGCUGAAAGCAUGAGCUGCGCUGUAGAGGACUUGUGUUUGUAAAGGGAAGAAAAAAUCAGAAUAGAAUAUUAAAUAUACAGAGCCAAAAGUGAUCACUCACUCACAUCAAUGGUCUCACAGAAAAAGUCCCUCUGCUAUAGAGAGUAUCACGCACAUUAUGAGAAGCUGGAGCAGAGACCAACUACUACAACUUGCAGGUAUCUUCGUGACAGAUCUCCUGGGCAUGGGAUGUGGAAGUUGUGGAGAUUGAUGCUGCUUGAAUCGCUGAUUUUAAUACCUUCCCUUAAUAAGUGCCCCUCUUCUGUAUUAUACUUUCCUGGAGCCAUCGCUGAAGAUACCAUGAAACUUCAUACCAGUGAUCCUGAGAUCAGGUCAGCAGCUACCAAAAUGCCCAUAAACUGGACAUCCCAAUUCCAUCUUAGCAGGAAUCAGAGAGGAUCCAUCCAUAGCAGAGUUAGCAGUACAAUGGACACACUGCUUUUGAUCCAAGUUCUGAGAGAAAAUGUUCGAAGCGUCAUGAGAAUACAUUCUUGUUUUAUUCCUGCAGAGAUGUGGCUCAUCAAAAUCCGCUUCAGAAGACAAGGAUCCUGGUGA
rnacentral:lncRNA from 1 species